rnacentral:rRNA from 1 species
GACGAACGCUGGCGGCGUGGAUUAGGCAUGCAAGUCGAACGGUAUCAUCCUUUCGGGGGUGAGAGAGUGGCGAACUGGUGAGUAACACGUAGGUUAUCUACCCUCAAGACGGGGACAACCCAGGGAAACUUGGGCUAAUACCGGAUGUGAGCAACUUUUAGUUGUUUGAAAGGUGGCGUAAGCUGUCGCUUGGGGAUGAGCCUGCGUCCUAUUAGUUAGUUGGUGAGGUAACGGCUCACCUAGGCAAUGAUAGGUAGGCGGCCUUAACGGGUGGUCGCCCACACUGGGAUUGAGAUACGGCCCAGACUCCUACGGGAGGCAGCAGUCGAGAAUAGUCUACAAUGGUCGGAAGACUGAUAGUGCGACGCCGCGUGAACGAUGAAUCCCUUCGGGGUGUAAAGUUUCUUUUAUAUGUGAGCAGUGCUUCUUAUAUUAACAGUAUGGGGAGAGAGAUAUUAGCAUAUGAAUAAGCAACGGCUAACUCCGUGCCAGCAGCC